GCCCAGAUGGUGAAACUGGCAGACACACUGUGCUUAGGACGCAGCGCUUGAAAAGGCAUGCAGGUUCGAUUCCUGUUCUGGGCA
rnacentral:tRNA from 1 species